rnacentral:misc_RNA from 1 species
GAUGAAGAACGUAGCGAAAUGCGAAAAGUAAUGUGAAUUGCAGAAUUCAGUGAACCAUCGAAUCUUUGAACGCACAUUGCGCCCGCUGGAACUCCGGCGGGCACGCCUGUCCGAGCGUCAUUUCAACCCUCAGGCCCCCCUUCGCGGGCGGGCCUGGUGUUGGGGCCCGGCCGCUACCCUGCGGUCGUCCCCUAAAUCCAGUGGCGGCCUCGCCGUGAUCCCUUGCGUAGUAAUGCACCUCGCACCGGAGAGCGCCGUGGCCACGCCGUAAAACCCCCAAUUUUCAAUGGUUGACCUCGGAUCAGGUGGGAAUACCCGCUGAACUUAAGCAUAUCAAUAAGCGGAGGA